rnacentral:lncRNA from 1 species
GGGGCUCCUCUCAGCCUCCCACACAGACAGACAGAAGGACCGGACAGUGCGGCGGGGGCCAACCCAAUUCCCCCACUCCAUCAGGACGCCCACUCCACCCAGGCGGCCAGGAACCCCCGGAACCCGAAAACCGCAGAGCGCCGCACUCGCCCGCCACCUGUGCGGCCGCCAGGUCUCGGUGAUUGUCCGGUGUGACCCAGCUCAAAGCCAACGAAUUUGAAGAGGAAGCGGAAGGCCUCAAGAGAUAAGAUGAGAGGAGAAAGGGAACAGCUCUCAUCCUCACCUCAGAUCAGACCCCUGCCCCCCUGCCUCUGGACGCACUCAGGUGCUGAUAGAAUGUCUGGAACUGCAGCAGGAUCUUGAGACCAGGAGAAGCAGCCCAGAAGAAUGAAAGCCAUACACAAAUACUGAACUUACCCCAUAAGGAUGACUCCACGUGCACGUAAGGGGUAAAUCCUUGUGGUCUGAGGACCAAGAAAAUUAGCAUCACUUGGAUCUUGUUAGAAAUACGAAAUCUCAGGCCCCACUCCAGACUGGCUGAACACCCAGUUUAGCAAGCUCCCCAGAUGAUUCAGUUGUGUUUUACAGUUUGAGAAGCUCUAGCUCAAACUCCUGUUGGUUGGAUUUUUCUGAUACUUCAGUUGAAUAUUUUGGAACUUGUGAGCGGAAAAAAGUAGUGAGUGAUCAAAGGAUUGAAGAUUCUGAAGAGAAUUAAGUGAAUAUGGAAGGAUGAGACCAAGAAUGCAAAUAAAGUUGCCAGAUGGCCUGGGUCUCCAUGAGGAGAGAGCAGAAAUCACCCAUUCAGAGUAAAUAUAAGAAAGAGGAAAUGGUGGGGAGUUUCUUAGCAACUCAGGUGGGGAAUAUCAGAAAUCCUGCAUGACAGCUCAUCAGGGGAGUUGGACAGCUUGAAUAAGAGGUCCAUGGAUCUAACUUUUCCUGCACUCUAAAAGCCCCAGAACUGAGAGAGCAGACAGCUUCAAAUUAACCCAGUGGGAACUUAGGGGGACCAAGGUCACAAUUAAGGUCAUCACUGAAAGGCUGACCAUGGAGCACGUGGUGGAUUAAAGACUGUGGUGGACAAACACAAGUAAACCACUUGAGUUCAGUGGGGAGAGUUUCAAGCAUGCAGUCCUGGGAAGGAAGGCCUAAGAGAAUGUUCAGUAGUGGCAGUAGAGGAAUAUCAGGAAAAAAAAAAAAAAAAAAAAAAA